AUUCCGGUUGAUCCUGCCGGAGGCUAUUGCUAUCGGUGUCCGAUUUAGCCAUGCGAGUUGUACGUUUAACGUAGCAGACUGCUCAGUAACACGUGGCCGAUCUACCCUAUGGACUGGGAUAACCACGGGAAACUGUGGCUAAUCCCUGAUAGCGCUCCCGAGCUUGAAUGCUGGGAGCGUUAAACGCUCCGGCGCCAUAGGAUGAGGCUGCGGCUGAUUAGGUAGACGGUGAGGUAACGGCUCACCGUGCCAAUAAUCGGUACGGGUCAUGAGAGUGAGAACCCGGAGACGGAAUCUGAGACAAGAUUCCGGGCCCUACGGGGCGCAGCAGGCGCGAAACCUUUACACUGCACGCCAGUGCGAUAGGGGGACACCGAGUGCGGAGGCAUAGAGCCUUCGCUUUUGUGUACCGUAAGGUGGUACACGAAUAAGGGCUGGGCAAGACCGGUGCCAGCCGCCGCGGUAACACCGGCAGCCCGAGUGAUGGCCGAUAUUAUUGGGCCUAAAGCGUCCGUAGCUGGCCGAGCAAGUUCGUCGGGAAAUCCACGCGCCCAACGUGUGGGCGUCCGGCGAAAACUGUUCGGCUUGGGACCGGAAGACCC
rnacentral:rRNA from 1 species